GCCUUCGUGGUGUAGUGGUCAGCACGCUCGGCGCGUAUUCGAGAGGUCCGUGGUUCGAAUCCCGGCUAGGGUA
rnacentral:tRNA from 1 species